rnacentral:rRNA from 1 species
CCUACGGGAGGCAGCAGUGGGGAAUUUUGGACAAUGGGCGCAAGCCUGAUCCAGCCAUUCCGCGUGAGUGAAGAAGGCCUUCGGGUUGUAAAGCUCUUUUGUCCGGAGCGAAACGGUUGCGGUGAAUAUCCGCGACUACUGACGGUACCGGAAGAAUAGGCACCGGCUAACUACGUGCCAGCAGCCGCGGUAAU